CUUUAACACUGAGGCGUGACGACGAGGCACUACGGUGCUGAAGCAACAAAUGCCCUGCUUCCAGGAAAAGCCUCUAAGCAUCAGGUAACACGAAAUCGUACCCCAAACCGACACAGGUGGUCAGGUAGAGAAUACCAAGGCGCUUGAGAGAACUCGGGUGAAGGAACUAGGCAAAAUGGUGCCGUAACUUCGGGAGAAGGCACGCUGACACGUAGGUGAAGUGAUUUACUCAUGGAGCUGAAGUCAGUCGAA
rnacentral:rRNA from 2 species